UCAGCCCUGCAAGAGUGGGGAAUAGCCACUCCGCUGGGCUCUCUGACAGCGAACGUUGAGAGGGUGGAGAAUGUUGUUGCUGUUAUCAAAUCUUGCACUCCCAAUGGAUUUGGAGAUGCGAAAGUUACCCUCAAGGACCCCACGGGUGCCGUUGAUGCUAGCAUCCACCGCAAGGCAUUUACUCACAGUGAAUUUGCGAAUGACAUAACUGUUGGAUCUGUUCUCGUUCUCCAAAAGGUUGCUGUGUUUGCACCUAGAGGAACUGUUUGUUAUCUUAAUAUAACAUUGCCCAACCUAGUGAAGGUAUUCCCAAAAGAUUGCGGACCCCAUGACUUCAUCGAUAUCACAGAGGAAUAAUUUUGUUUUCGGUGUUGCUUAUGUUUAAUUUGGUUGUGUAACCGUUUAACUUAUUGUCAUGGAUUACUACAUGCUUUGAAUUAUUUAUAUGUUGUCGUUGUUUCUGUUUUUUUCAUUA